AGGAAGGUUCUGGGCCAGCUGUUGGCGGGCGGGGUAGGGGCGCCACUAGAUGAUGCCCACUCCGCGGGCGCUGGCUCUAACCUCACCCUACUCACCUCAGAACCAUCCAGAGACAGACUUCUCUCCCCAUGGAGGGUUUUCAUGGGGUCCUCACACGUUUUCAGGGUGAUUGUGCGUCACCCUCCAGGUCCUCAUGACCUAACGAAUGUAGGUGGUACCUAACCCUCUAUACACGCGUGUCUGCACAAACACAACCUGGAGGAAAAUUUAUUUUUAUACUGGGUGGUGAUGAUAACUACAACUUUCUGGUUAUUACUAGAGUUAACUCCAGUGUCAAAUCCAACGACGUAGGUUUCCUCCAACAUAUUCACAGGGUUCCCAAAAUAAAAUUUCUUUUACAUUUUAAGCAAGACAUUUUCUGCCAAGAAGGAUAGGUUAGUCUAUUUUCAUGCCCCUAUUGUGUUGCUCAAAAUUCUCACGUGAAAGAUUAUAUUAUGUAACUGUUAAACUGGACGCAAAUUUCCAGCUGGGAAUAAUGUGUGCAAACUAUAACACUUUCAUAAUAAAAGUCUGCUCAAGAUAAUACUUUGGAGAACAGAGACCAUUCGUUUCUGUGAUUUUACUAUUGAAUGUACGUUGAGCCAACUGGAAUAACUUUUGUUUACAGUCUAGCUGUGAAAUACUGCAUAGGGGCUGACAGCACCCAAGGAGAGGAACACCAUUGGGAAAACACCUGCCUGCCUUACCCCUGAUCUGGAAGGACCCUGUGUUAAAUUUGGAGUCUAUUUUAAGUGAUGACUCACCUGACUUUAGGCGAAAAGUUGGAACCAGAAUUAAGAGGAACUGAGGGAGCCCAUGCUGCAAAAUAUUGUCUUCCAAAAAGGAGAGAGGAAAACAAUUCAUUCAUUUUUACAGGCUCACCGAGUGGAGGAAUCGCUGCUGCGCAAGAGGUGCUGGAGUGCUGGGCUGACUGAGCGAUUUAAGGCCCGAGGGAAGCGUGUGAAGAAGCACUGUUCCAGGGAGCCACUCAUCCAUCUUUCUUCUGGAUUUGUUGCUGGAGGCAACAUACCGAACACUGAGGCAAGGGGGAAUGAGCCAUUCUGAGUUGGAGACUUUUAAAACGAGACCCAAAUGAUGAAAAGAAGCCAUUCAUGGGAAACCCAAGAGGAUCAACACAGGCAGAGGUACUGCAAGUGCAAAGGCCCUACAAGUCAAAAGGCUUGACAUGUUGUAAAAAAACUGACAGAGGUCUGUGUGACUGAAGCAUCAGGACCAGCUGCUGUAGGAAGAAUGAAGUGAAGGGUUACAAAAAUGGAAACGUUUAUGAUCAGUUAUGGUAUUAUUGCAGAAGCCCAGGUGAAAGAUGAUAGUAGCUUGGGUAGGGUGGUGGCAAUUAAGGUAGAGAAACAUGUUCAGAUUCAGGAUAUAUUUUAGAGGUAGAACCAGCAGUUCAUAGGCAUCAAUGCUUCUGGUUGUAAUAACUGAAAGACUGGUAACCUAUUUAUUAGGAUGAGGAAGUCUGGAGUAUUAUAGGAUAUAUGGGAAAAGAAAAAAUUCCCCCUUAAACAUAUUAAAUUUGAAAUGACUGAGUAAUCUAGGCAGUUAAUCAUACAACUGGAGUUCAGAGAAGAAAGCUGAGGACCAAUAAAAUCAGGGUCUAAAACAAAUAAAUAGCACUUAGAAUCAUGAAAAUGGAUGAGUUCACCUAGAGAAAGUAUGGAUAGAGAAGAAAAGAAGAAAGGGCUCCGGAAGGAUUCCAAGGAACUCGAGUGCUGAGAGGUGGGGUAGAGGGUAUUAGGCAGAAUAGAUCAAGGAGGAGCUACCAUUGGAAUGUGAGCAAUGUCAGCAGACUGUGCUGUCCUGACCUGGGUGGAGAUUCCAAGGUAGGAAAAGCUGAGUUGAAAACUGUUCAGGAACCAAGCAUAAUGAGAACAGAAAAUUACCCAUCUGGCCCUAUGGAGGUCUCUGGUAAACUUAACAAGGGUGUUCAGUUGAGUUGAAGGAACAAAAGCGAGAGUAGACCCUAUAACCCAGAAAUUUCACUUCUCAGUUAUUGGAAACAAGAAACUCUUGCAUGAGUGCACCAAGAGACUCAUACACAAGAUGGUUAUAACUGGUUUGUUGCUGGAGCAAACUACUGGGAAUGACCCAAACUUGCAUCCUUAGGAGAAUAGAUAAAUUGUGCUAUAUUCAUAGAAUGGAAUAGUAUAGAGUAAUGAAAGUGACUGCUUUAACAUGGGUAAAUCUCACAAACUUAAUGUUGACCAAACAAACUCCCGAAAGACUCAAAACAUCUGCAGUAUAAUUCCAUUUAUAUAAAGUUUCAAAAAUGAAGAACUAAAUAAUACCUUGUUUAAAGAUACAUAUAAAAGGAAAUGAUAACACAAAAUUCAGAAAUCCUGUUACAUAGGACAUAUAGGGAUGCUCAAAGAUUAUAUAUGUGUUAUAUAUACACUUUGGUGGCCUAAAGAUAGCUACCUAGCUUUGUCCACUCUAUAGGCCUAAAUGCAUUUAUCAAGCCAGUAGCAAUGAGCGCUGCUAGCACCCAUACUGUGAUCUCCAAAUAGUAUCUCGUACUAAAAGUAACAAGCACACUUUGGGAGAAGAACUGAUUUCGGGUAUAGGACAGGGAAUGUACAGGACAGGCUUGAAAAUCUUGUCUUAGACUGCAAGGAAUGUUUUGAGAUUGCUAAGGUUGUGUCAGAAGAACGCAGAAGCCUAUCUGAAGAGGCUCCCACUGACAAAGAUAGGAAAGUUUAGGCAUCCAUAAGGAUAAAUACUGCAAUGGAUUGAAAAGCACAUCAAAUAUAUAUGUUUACCUACUUUUCUUAUGUAAACUACUACUGUUGGUUACCUAAAUGGUAAAUA